rnacentral:rRNA from 1 species
CCUACGGGAGGCAGCAGUGAGGAAUAUUGGUCAAUGGGCGCAAGCCUGAACCAGCCAUGCCGCGUGCAGGAAGAAUGCCCUAUGGGUUGUAAACUGCUUUUAUUUGGGAAUAAACCUCUUUACGUGUAGAGAGCUGAAGGUACCAAAUGAAUAAGCACCGGCUAACUCCGUGCCAGCAGCCGCGGUAAUACGGAGGGUGCAAGCGUUAUCCGGAAUCAUUGGGUUUAAAGGGUCCGCAGGCGGAUUUAUAAGUCAGUGGUGAAAUCCUAUCGCUUAACGAUAGAACUGCCAUUGAUACUGUAAGUCUUGAAUUCGGUCGGAGUGGGCGGAAUGUGUAGUGUAGCGGUGAAAUGCAUAGAUAUUACACAGAACACCGAUAGCGAAGGCAGCUCACUAGGCCUGAAUUGACGCUCAGGGACGAAAGCGUGGGGAUCAAACAGGAUUAGAUACCCUGGUAGUCCACGCUGUAAACGAUGAUUACUCGUUUUCGGCGAUAUACAGUCGGAGACUAAGCGAAAGUGAUAAGUAAUCCACCUGGGGAGUACGAUCGCAAGGUUGAAACUCAAAUGAAUUGACGG